rnacentral:rRNA from 1 species
GACGAACGCUGGCGGCGUGCUUAACACCUGCAAGUCGAACAAAGUGGCGAACGGGUGAGUAAUACGUGGGUAACCUGCCCUCCUUUUUGGGAUAAGCCUUGGAAACUGGGUCUAAUCCCGAAAAAAGGGGGAGGGGCGCGCGGCCUAUCAGCUUGUUGGUGGGGUGAGGGCCUACCAAGUCGGUGACGGGUAGCCGGCCUGAGAGGGUUACCGGAGAUAUUGGGACGGAGAUACGGCCCAGACUCCUACGGGAGGCAGCAGUGGCGGAUGUUGCAGAAUGGGCGAAAGCAUGAUGCAAGGAUGCCGCGUGGGGGAUGAAGGCUUGCGGGUUGUAAACCUCUUUCGGUGUCGAACGGGUAGGUGGAGAAGAAGCGCCGGCGAACGACGGGCCAGCAGCCGCGGUAAUAC